GAACAUUCUGAGAGAUAAACAUAUACAUUAACUAGCACAGCACGAGGAUAUGGUCGUUAAGCACUGUGACGUCACCAAUGACGUUGGGCAAGGUCAGGAGCGGCCGGCGCCGCCUCAGUGUCGGGCUGACAGCCAGUAGACGUAGUUCCUUAGGCGGUGUCCCGCUUCUUACAUCAUUUGCAGCUACACCGGUCAUCAGGUGGAUGUGGAUUUCUGUAAUGUAAUUCACGGAACCAAUUUCAUCUGAAUUACUUUGGUUAAGACCGGGUAUUUGGGUCUGGCUCGACAAUGGCCACGAGUCUUCUUGAGAAACUUGAAGUGAACGGAGGACUAGUCAGUCACAAGGCACGGAACUAGUUUUGGCGUGACGUAGCUGCAAGUCUCGAUAGAGGUGGUUGGACGGUGUUGAACACGGGGCGGCUGGCAACGUUGCAGGAAUAUCUGAAAGAAAAGGAAAGUUGUUAAAACGUUCAGUUAAUAUUUAUCAUUUAGCAGGAAACUGUUGGAAAGGAUAUUCUGCAGAAUUAUAGAAAGAGCAUCUGUGGGACAUUAGAAACGACGCAGUAUAGAAAAUGGAUGAAGACGGGUGGCUGUAGCAGUAAGGACGGUGAAGCAUAGACUGCAAAAUUGGGAAGCAAGAUGCAAAAUAAAGGAAAGUUGUAAAUCUGUAUUGUGUACUUUGAAACUGUUUUUAGAACUAUAGAAUCUGUUCCCUCUUAUGUAUAAUAUCUGGUGUAUGGUGUUAUGACUAUUGUUCGGCUGGUUUUCUGUAUUAACAAUGUGGUUCCGAUAAAUGUUCGUAUUGGAAUAAAUAUCCCUUAAUUAUAGACGUUAAUGUUUACAGCCGUUUGUGUAUUCUUUAACGGCUGGCUAUGCACAGUUUAUAUAUCUACAAUGCCAUGUUUAUUGUUGUAACAUUGUCUAGGCCCAGUGUAUGCGACAGUGGCUAGAAUUUGAAGGUUUGUUAAUAAAGUGUUCUUAUUGGA